UUCCAGACUCCUACGGGAGGCAGCAGUGAGGAAUAUUGGUCAAUGGGCGCGAGCCUGAACCAGCCAAGUAGCGUGAAGGAUGACUGCCCUACGGGUUGUAAACUUCUUUUAUAAAGGAAUAAAGUGAGGCACGUGUGCCUUUUUGUAUGUACUUUAUGAAUAAGGAUCGGCUAACUCCGUGCCAGCAGCCGCGGUAAUACGGAGGAUGCGAGCGUUAUCCGGAUUUAUUGGGUUUAAAGGGUGCGUAGGCGGAAUAUCAAGUCAGCGGUAAAAAUUCGGGGCUCAACCCCGUACUGCCGUUGAAACUGCAUCCCUUGAGUGCGCGAGAAGUAUGCGGAAUGCGUGGUGUAGCGGUGAAAUGCAUAGAUAUCGCGCAGAACUCCGAUUGCGAAGGCAGCAUGCCGGCUCCACACUGACGCUGAGGCACGAAAGCGUGGGUACCGAACAGGAUUAGAUACCCCGGUAA
rnacentral:rRNA from 1 species